ensembl:lncRNA
AUGAGGUCUUCUCAAGAGUUACAUAACUGCCCCCGAAGCCAGGGGGCAGGAGCAGGGCCAGCCGUGGGAGAUGUUUCCCAAGCGGAAUGCAGAGGAAGGACUGGCCUUGAGAAGAUGGGGAGCUGGCCAGGCCGUGGAAUGCUCCCAGCCUCGGGGCUUAAACAAAAACUGUAUUCAAAGGGUGAGGGCUCUGUUGAGAACAAACCCUGUCUGUCUCCCUGCUUUGUCUUGGGGGCUUAUCAAGGUGAACCUUUACCCUGUGGGGCACUGGUUAUUGAAUUUAGAGCCGGGCACGACUGCCAGAACCAGGCCCUGGUAAUCCUCCCAGCCAUCUCUAAUUAGCAGACUUUGGGGCAUCCUGAGGGCCAGGCAGAGGUGAGAUAAGAGCUCCAGCCUCAUCUGCUCACAGUAUCUUUGGGGGAGGAGAGUUGUGGGAGGGGCCACAGCUAAUCAGUGAAAGCUUGCUAAGGGCUCACUCUGUGGUCAUCCUUGGGGGAGGGAGGUAUCUGAUUGGUUCCUUCCCCUUGGGCACCUUGUAGCAGCUCUGUUUGCCACUCUCCCUGCCCACUAUCUUACUUGUGUGCAUGCUAAGUCGCUCAGUCGUGUCUGACUCUGAUCCCAUGGACUAUAGCCUGCCCGGCUCCUCUGUCCAAGGGAUUCUUCAAGCAAGAAUACUGGAGUGGGUUGCCAAGCCCCUCUUCAGGGGAUCUUUCCAACCUAGGGAUGGAACCUGCUUCUCUCAAGUCUCUUGCAUUCGCAAGCAGGUUCUUUACUACUAGCACCACUUGGGAAGCCCCCUGUCUUACUUGACUAAUGCUUUCUUUGCCUUCACACCUUAACUUAGAGUACUGAGCCCUAGAGCAGCAUUUUUCAAGCUGUAGGUCAUGACCCAUUAGUCGCUUGUCAUGACACCAUUAAAUUUAGUAGGUCACACCCAGCAUUAAAAGAAAGAAACCAUCCAAAUAUAUCUGAUGUAAUAAAGAUACCUGUUGUUUCAGUUACCUGUAUGAAAUGAAUUUAUAUUGGUGAUUGUAGUGAAAGAGAAAGAAAGAAAAUGGAAAGACUCUGGCUUAGAGGCUAUAUCUGGCUCAAUCUAGUGUAGGCAAGAGGAAUGUUUCUUAUUUCACUUAAGAAAUCCAGAAGUGGGGCAAGGCCUCAGGACACAGACUUCACUUGGAUUCAGGCUCCUCUUUGCCACCAAGGACACCAAGCCUUCAUGAGGGCUUUAUCCUCAGGCUGGUAGCAAGAUGAGUACAGAAGCUCCAUGUCAUAGCCAGAGAACAUUGCAGAAAGGAGAGACUGGCUUUCGUGACAGAAUGGGCAAAGGUGCUUGUAAUGUCGAAAACUGACAUUGACUAAUUUUUAGACUGUACAAGAAAUUCCUACAAACCAGGAAAAAAGAGAGCAACCCUAAGAGAAAAAUGGGCAGAAGAUAUGAACAUGCAAUUUAUAGAAGAGGUAACACUAAAAGCUAAGAAACAUAUGACAAAAUAUUCAAAAUCAUUAAAGAAUAUAAUGAUUAAUUAUAUUCUAAGUAUAUCAUUAAAGAAAUGAAUUCAAGUGAGAUUUGUGUGCUCGCAUG